rnacentral:tRNA from 1 species
CCCGUGGUUAGCUCAGUUGGUAGAGCGCUCUACUGGAAAUGAAGAGGUCCCGGGUGCGAUACUCGAACGGGG